CCCCCUGCAUCUCAGUAUUUCCUCUCCCCUCCAUAAUUCAAUUAUUAAACAAUUUUGCUUUUCUAGGAUACAGGAAUGGACUGGGAGCAGGAGCCUUCCCUAGAGCUGGAGCCCAGACAGCAUAUAGAAACGGAUUGGGUAAUGGGGCUUUCCCAGGAGCUGGAGCCCAGCCAGGCCUUGGAGCUGGAACCAAGCCUCAGAAACCAGGAUAUGGAAAUGGGCUGGGAAAUGGCGGCUUCCCUGGGGUUGGAGCCCAGCCAGGAUUUGGAGUAGGAACCAAGCCUCAGAAAGCAGGAAAUGGGAAUGGUCUACAAGCUGGGGCCUUCCCAGGAGCCAGAGCUCAGCCAGGUCCCUGUAAUAGGGGCUCCAUUCCAGCUCCCAAUGGAGUAGGGCCCGCAACAGGGAGUCCCUCAGAAAAAGGAGGAUUCAGGGCUCAGAAUGGCUAUGGACCAGUUUCUCCCUCAGGCCUUGAAGAUGGAUUGAAGACUCAUAAAACAGGACUCAGAAAUGUGUUUGGAGCUGGACCCUUCUCAGGGGCCAAGAUUCAGCCAGGCUAUGGUGCCAUGAAUGGGUAUAGAGCAGGUCUUAGAGGAGGAGCCAAACCACAGAAAACAGGCUAUGGAAAUGGAUUAGGAGCAGGUGCUUUCCCAGAGUCUGGGCCACAGCCAGGGUUUGGGACCCCAAAUGGUUUUGGAGUAGGCCUAGGUGGUGUGAAGCCUCAAAAAGCAGUUUAUAGCAAUGGACUGGGAGCUGGAACCUUUUCUGAGGUCAGGGCCCAGCAAGCAGGUUUCCCUGGGGCCAGAAGUUAUCCAGCCAAUGGCUACAGCAAUGGUGGGGCCAGCUUCUUUGGUGCUCAGGGAGUCCCCUUUCUCCCUGGAGGUUCAGACUCUGGGGCCAAAACUGCUAAGUAUGACUAUGGAAAUGGGGUAGGCGAAGGCUCCUACCCUGCGGAUAGAAGCGCGCCAGGUCUCUAUGGUCAGUUAAGACCAGAGGCAGUCCCCGGGACUUACGGUGGGCCAGAUGUGAAGCACAGCUUCAAUGGCUUCCUGGGAAAUGGCUAUGUAGGUCGCUGUCCUCCAGGGAAAUGUUGAGCCUAAAGGGUUCCCUCCAAUAUCCCCCAUGUGAAGAUCUUCAGGGGAGCUCGGAGCCUAAGACCUGGCCACCUUACUGCUGUCAGGUUUUUUGGAAAAAAAACCAGGCUCCUUGGGAGGGGAGUCUCCCCUCUGCCCCAUCAGGGUCUUUCUUUGGUCCUUUAACCCAGUCUUAUAAGGGGCCCCUCACAGCAGAGAGGAGGAGGAGGAGAUCAAGGGCCUGUUAAUAAAAGAUUUAAAUUCACAAGUUUGGUGGUCCA
rnacentral:lncRNA from 1 species